rnacentral:rRNA from 1 species
AGCGAACGCUGGCGGCAGGCUUAACACAUGCAAGUCGAGCGGGCCUUUCGGGGUCAGCGGCGGACGGGUGAGUAACGCGUGGGAACGUGCCCUCUGGUUCGGAAUAACUCAGGGAAACUUGAGCUAAUACCGGAUACGCCCUUUUGGGGAAAGGCUUGCUGCCGGAGGAUCGGCCCGCGUCUGAUUAGCUAGUUGGUGAGGGAACGGCUCACCAAGGCGACGAUCAGUAGCUGGUCUGAGAGGAUGAUCAGCCACACUGGGACUGAGACACGGCCCAGACUCCUACGGGAAGCAGCAGUGGGGAAUAUUGGACAAUGGGCGCAAGCCUGAUCCAGCCAUGCCGCGUGAGUGAUGAAGGCCUUAGGGUUGUAAAGCUCUUUUAUCCGGGACGAUAAUGACGGUACCGGAGGAAUAAGCCCCGGCUAACUUCGUG